rnacentral:tRNA from 1 species
ACAGUGACACCUCAGUCGAUAGAGUAUCUGCCUGGUACGCAGACUGUCGCCGGUUCGACUCCGGCUCGUGGCG